UAAGACAAAACUGGCAUGAAAUGGCUCACC
rnacentral:piRNA from 1 species